rnacentral:tRNA from 1 species
ACCGUGCUGGCACUCGGCUUCUACGCGACGCCGACCUUCUGGGUCGGCCUGAUGCUGGUGCUGGUGUUCAGCGUAUGGCU